rnacentral:rRNA from 1 species
UACGUAGGGACCAAGCGUUGUUCGGAUUUACUGGGCGUAAAGGGCGCGUAGGCGGCUUAACAAGUCACUUGUGAAAUCUCCGGGCUUAACUCGGAACGGCCAAGUGAAACUGUCAAGCUAGAGUGCGGAAGGGGCAAUCGGAAUUCUUGGUGUAGCGGUGAAAUGCGUAGAUAUCAAGAGGAACACCUGAGGUGAAGACGGGUUGCUGGGCCGACACUGACGCUGAUGCGCGAAAGCCAGGGGAGGCAAACGGG